UACGUAGGGUGCAAGCGUUAAUCGGAAUUACUGGGCGUAAAGCGUGCGCAGGCGGUUAUGUAAGACAGGUGUGAAAUCCCCGGGCUUAACCUGGGAACCGCAUUUGUGACUGCAUAGCUAGAGUACGGCAGAGGGGGAUGGAAUUCCGCGUGUAGCAGUGAAAUGCGUAGAUAUGCGGAGGAACACCGAUGGCGAAGGCAAUCCCCUGGGCCUGUACUGACGCUGAGGUACGAAAGCGUGGGGAGCAAACAGG
rnacentral:rRNA from 1 species